UGCGUAGGCGGGGCAAUUAGUCAGUGGUGAAAUCCUGCGGCUUAACCGUAGAACUGCCAUUGAUACUGUUGCCCUUGAGUAUAGUUGAGGUGGGCGGAAUGUGUAAUGUAGCGGUGAAAUGCAUAGAGAUUACACAGAACACCAAUUGCGAAGGCAGCUCACUAAGCUAUAACUGACGCUGAGGCACGAAAGCGUGGGGAGCGAACAGGAUUAGAUACCCUGGUAGUC
rnacentral:rRNA from 1 species